UACAGAGGUCCCAAGCGUUGUUCGGAUUCAUUGGGCGUAAAGGGUGCGUAGGUGGCGCCGUAAGUCGGGUGUGAAAUUUCGGAGCUUAACUCCGAAAACUGCAUUCGAUACUGCGGUGCUUGAGGACUGGAGAGGAGACUGGAAUUCAUGGUGUAGCAGUGAAAAUGCGUAGAGAUCAUGAGGAAGACCAGUGGCGAAGGCGGGUCUCUGGACAGUUCUGACACUGAGGCACGAAGGCCAGGGGGAGCAAAACGGG
rnacentral:rRNA from 1 species